AGUGAUAGUUCCGUAAGUUAGUGGAGGGACAUCCCACGUGAUGAUGAAGGAAGAGUUCCUGUAGACAGCGUGAACGUUGACGGGUGAAGAAGGCGGAGAGCCGGCUGAAACAGUAAGAAAGAAAUGAAAACGCUGCAGCAUGACGUCAGUGGACACACAGAAAGAUUAUGUCGUUUACCGGAUCAAGAUAUAGGGCUCACGGCGGAUGUGAUCGAUCGACAAGGGAUGCUUACUCCUUGGCACCUGAUCCCACCUCUGGUUUUCAACAGUCGGAGUAGCAAGCACCACAUUGUCAGCCCAGAAAAAAAAUCGGAAUUACACGUGACAUAGAUCCAGAACAAUAAAGCUCAUAUGUG